GACGAACGCUGGCGGCGUGCCUAAUACAUGCAAGUAGAACGCUGAAGGAGGAGCUUGCUCUUCUGGAUGAGUUGCGAACGGGUGAGUAACGCGUAGGUAACCUGCCUGGUAGCGGGGGAUAACUAUUGGAAACGAUAGCUAAUACCGCAUAAUAGUAGAUGUUGCAUGAUAUUUACUUAAAAGGUGCAAUUGCACCACUACCAGAUGGACCUGCGUUGUAUUAGCUAGUUGGUGGGGUAACGGCUCACCAAGGCGACGAUACAUAGCCGACCGGAGAGGGGGAUGGGCCACACUGGGACUGGGACACGGCCCAGACUCCUACGGGAGGCAGCAGUAGGGAAGCUUCGGCAAUGGACGGAAGGCUGACCGAGCAACGCCGCGUGAGUGAAGAAGGGUUUCGGAUCGUAAAGCUCUGUUGUAAGAGAAGAACGGGUGUGAGAGUGGAAAGUUCACACUGUGACGGUAUCUUACCAGAAAGGGACGGCUAACUACGUG
rnacentral:rRNA from 1 species